rnacentral:rRNA from 1 species
CCUGACUGCUAUCGGAUUGAUACUAAGCCAUGUGAGUCAUUGCAGCAAUGCAAGGCAGACGGCUCAGUAACACGUAGUCAACCUACCCUAUAGACGGGGGUAACCUCGGGAAACUGAGGAUAAACCCCGAUAGAUCAUUAUGCCUGGAACGGUUUAUGGUCCAAAUGAUUCGUCGCUAUAGGAUGGGACUGCGGCCUAUCAGCUUGUUGGUGAGGUAAUGGCCCACCAAGGCUAUUACAGGUACGGGCUCUGAGAGGAGAGGCCCGGAGAUGGGUACUGAGACACGGACCCAGGUCCUAUGGGGCGCAGCAGGCGAGAAAACUUUGCAAUGUGCGCAAGCACGACAAGGUUAAUCCGAGUGAUUCCUGCUAAAGGAAUCUUUUGUUAGUUGUAAAACCACUUAUGAAUAAGGGGUGGGCAAGUUCUGGUGUCAGCCGCCGCGGUAAAACCAGCACCUCAAGUGGUCAGGAUGAUUAUUGGGCCUAAAGCAUCCGUAGCCGGCUCUGUAAGUUUUCGGUUAAAUCUGUACGCUCAACGUACAGGCUGCUGGGAAUACUGCAGAGCUAGGGAGUGGGAGAGGUAGACGGUACUCGGGAGGAAGUGGUAAAAUGCUUUGAUCUCUCGAUGACCACCUGUGGCGAAGGCGGUCUACCAGAACACGUCCGACGGUGAGGGAUGAAAGCUGGGGGAGCAAACCGGAUUAGAUACCCGGGUAGUCCCAGCUGUAAACUAUGCAAACUCAGUGAUGCGUUGGCUUAUGGCCAGCGCAGUGUUGCAGGGAAGCCGUUAAGUUUGCCGCCUGGGAAGUACGUACGCAAGUAUGAAACUUAAAGGAAUUGGCGGGGGAGCACCACAAGGGGUAAAGCCUGCGGUUC